CAAACAAACACACACAGAAGGGCUGGGGGGACAAAGACACACAGCUUAUGGUGAGAACAGAAAAUUUGGGCUGGGUAUCAGAGCUAUGUUAUAUUAUUAUAUUGUGAAUCCGGGCCAGAGUGUAAGAGAGACCCCCUCUCCAGAAUCCAAUUUUUUCCCCACAACUUUCUAUGAGAGAAACUGUAAAAUUACCAUAUGCAUGGGCAUCUGUGAGUCAUUUAACUCCUGAAAAACUAUGAAUGAAACUGCUUGACAGGCUAACAGAAGAUAUACUGCCUAAGAGAACACUGAAAGGUGAGCAUCUAUUCCAUUUUGUUUUUUUAAUUCAGUUUUGUGGUUCUUUGGUUUUUGUUAGUUAUCUCGAUCAAAAAGAUGGAUAAAAACCAUAUUAUAAAAUACAUUUAAACCUCUGUUCAUUGUAUUUCAUAUUAAUUUCUGUUUUCUAUCUGGGUUUUUUUUCUUAAUUUUUUUCUGGAUAAUAAUUCAGCCUAAGAGAAAAAAAGAUUAUAGAUAACCAUGGAAAUGCAGCAAGCAAUUUGUUAUACAAGAGAUGUAAUUUGUAAAAUAAGGGAUGGUACAAUUUCAGCAUGCAAAUACCUCAGACGUAAGAUGAAAGGGUGAAAAUUAGUUAACCAGGACUGAAAGCAUUGAACUAUCAGAGCAAUACACUAUGCAAUGUCCUGCAGUGCCCCCUUCUGUUCAUUUUCAUAACUGAACUUUUAAAAUAAUUCUAAAAAAAAAUAAAUCUAAACUGCAUGUUUAAAAACUAAGAGCUCUUUGUAAUUAUUAAUGAUAUUGAAAGAGCCGAUAUAAUUCAUUUACAGCUUUUCAAAUAAUUGAUUGUGUGUACUUCAUUUUUCACAGAAAUAAACUGCAAACAAUUUCAGAG